rnacentral:lncRNA from 1 species
UCUUCACCCCGAGGGGUCCAGAACCCCCAAACCCCCUCCCCAAAUUGGGGGGUCCCUCAGAGAGGAGUCCAGGACCCCCCAAACCCCCUCCCCAAGGAGUUCAGGACCCCCAAAUCUUCACCCCGAGGGGUUCAGGACCCCCCAAGCCCCCUCCCCAAAUUGGGGGGUCCCUCAGAGGGGGCUCAGGACCCCCCAAACCCCCUCCCCAAAUUGGGGGGUCCUUCAGAGGGGGCUCAGGACCCCCCAAAUCUUCACCCUGAGGGGUCCAGGACCCCCCAAGCCCCCUCCCCAAAUUGGGGGGUCCCUCAGAGGGGGGGUCCCAGGCACUCCACCAUCCCCUGGCCCCUGAUGCCGUCGAAGAAGAAGAAAUUGUUGUGGGGGGGGUCCCGCUGGGACAGAGCCUGGAGGGGACACGGGGGGGUCACCAGGGGGGAUUUGGGGACCCCCAAAAUCCCCAAAACCCCCCAAAACCCCCCAAAAUCCCCCCAAAAUCUUACCUUGACCACCUCCUGGCCCAGCACCCCCCCGACCACGGCGCACACCGGGGCCAUCUCCGAAAAACAGAAGCUGGGAGAUAAAAAUAAAGAGAUUUAAGAGGAAUAAAUCCCCAAAAUUGGGGGGUUUCA